AAGAUGGGAUGCUGAUUUGGGAUAUAGUUUGAAGAGGGUUUUUCUCUCUGAUUUGGGAUGUUGUUUGAGAGAAAGCCCCAACUAUACUGAUUUCUGAAGAGGAGCUAACUGAUUUUUAGAGGUUGAAAAGGAAGAGGGUUUUUCAUUUUUUUCGGGAAACAACAAGCGGAGCUGAAGGAUUAGGUUUGAGGAACUAAUCCUAUAUGUACAAUUGCUUGAUCCUGUGGUUUCUAGCUUUCCCAUUGCCAAACAGGUGAAAUUACCAGCACCACAGUUUGUCAAACAGGGUUUCCAGCUCCCUACCAAAUUUCACUUGCAUCCCAGAAUCUAUGAAAGUCAGUAGCAGGGGCGAUUCUCAGGGACAUUGUAGUGAAAGUUAUCAACUGCUACCUAACACCAUCUCAGGGGUCUAAGGUCUCUCUCUCCUGCUCUGCUGUUCUCAGUCUACUUUCUCUUCACAACAGUCUUUUGGAUCCAAAUUCUUGACGACAUCGGUGAAACGUUUUACAUGUAAUCUCUGUCUCUGUCGCUCUCUCUCUUUCUCUCUCUCUCUCUCUCUCAAUCAAAUCUCUACAACAAUGAAGCCUUUAUUCUCCAAACAAGCAAUAACUCACCUAAAGCAGAGAAUCACCUCUCUCGCCCUUCUCAAUCUGACCCAUUCCUCUCCAUAUCACUCAACACCUACUGCCAAUGCCCCCUUCACUCUUCCUCACCUCAAAAAAACGAACAAUCUCUCAUUUGCAUUCUCUCUCUAUACCCCAAACUCAAGGCAUCUCAACUCUCUUCAAAUCUCUCGACAAGAAGAGAGAGAAGAAGAAGACCAGGAUGGACCCAUGAAUGAGUUCUUGUCAAGGUUUGUCUAUAUCAUGAGAAGCAAGGUUUCUGAAGCUUACCCCAACUGUAACAAAGAAACCAUUGAUGGAAUGCUUGCUGUUAUAGUCCAGAAAGUGGUUUUAGAGAUGGAGAAGGGCUCGAUAAAUGAUAUGCUGAACUUGGUGAAGGAAACCCAGUUUCAGGAUUUUAGCCAGGAGUUGUGGCGAGCAGUUUGGGAGGUCUGCAAUUUCAUCGUGGAAGACAUGAGAAAGAUGAGAAAGCGAGAGGAAUUGAAGAAGCAUUUACAGUGUGAAGAGGUGAAAGAGAUGUGCAAGUUUGCUCAAGAGGUGGGGAUUCGUGGUGAUAUGCUCAAAGAGCUCAGGCUCAAAUGGGCGCAAGAAAAGAUGGCUGAAACUGAGUUUUAUAGGGGCUUGGAACAAAUGAGAGAAGAAGAAAACGCCUUGUCUGAUGAGGAUGUUGCUUCAUCAAAAGAUGGAAGUUUGCAGAGUGAGGAGGGAGAGAGAGUUGAGGGAGAAAAUGCUGUUGGUGAAGAAACUCAAUCCUUUGUUCUUCCAAAGAGGAAAGGAAAGAUCCAGUAUAAGAUAUAUGGCCUCGAUUUAUCGGGACCCAAGUGGAGAGAAGUGGCUGAGAGGCUUGAAGAUGCGGAAAAAUUGAUUGCUCCACAAGAGACUAAGGAGAUAGAGGGAAAAUGCAAGCUUGUUAUGGACAAAAUGCUUUCUUUGUCGGAUGAUGAGGAUCCAUAUCAGUUAUUGGUUGAAUGGGAAGAGCUUUUAGAGCCGGCCCGAAUUGAUUGGCUUGCCUUGCUUGAGAGACUGAAAGAAAAAAACAAGCCCAGAUUGUGUUUCAAGGUUGCUGAACUUGUUCUAGACAAGAAAUCUUUCGAGCCAAACAUCCGUGACUUCUCAAAGCUCAUAGAUGCCCAUGCUAAGGAAGACCGCAUAGCUGAUGCUGAAAGGAUCCUUGGGAAAAUGACAGAGAAAGGAAUCUCGCCGGACAUUUUAACAUAUAUGACCUUGGUUCACAUGUAUAGCAACUCUAGUAAUCUUGAUCUAGCCAAGCAAGCCUUUGAAGAUAUUAGGGCUCGAGGCUUCCAACCCGACCAAAGGAUUUACAACUCCAUGAUCAUGGCUUACAUAAAAGCGGGCCUACCCAAGUCUGGCGAGUCUUUGAUGAGAGAGAUGGAGGCAAGAGAUAUAAGACCCACAAAGCAAAUCUACAUGGAAUUGCUCAGGGCCUUCGCUCAAGGUGGCCAUGUUGAUGGGGCUCAGAGAAUUGUCAACACAAUGCAAUUUGCAGGGUUUCAGCCUGAUUUAGAAUCAUGCUCUUUGCUUGUUGAGGCCUAUGGACAUGCAGGUGACCCCGAACAAGCUCGAAACAACUAUGAUUACAUGAUAAAAGCUGGCCAUAAGCCUGAUGAUAAGUGCACAGCUAGCUUGUUAGCUGCCUACGAGAAGAAGAACUUGCUGGAUAAGGCUUUAGGCUUGCUAUUGCAUCUAGAGAGAGAAGGGUACAAGUUGGGUACCCACACUUAUGCAGUUUUGGUGGAUUGGCUUGGUAGGUUGCAGCUUGUUGCGGAGGUGGAACAAGUUUUGAGUAAGAUUGGGAGUAAAGAGGAGGUUCCUUUUAAGGUUCAUGUGAGUCUGUGCGAUAUGUAUGCAAGGGCUAGGGUGAGAGAGAAGGCGCUUGAAGCUUUGGGGAUUGUUGAAGAGAAGAAAGAGGCUUUGAGUGGGGAAGAGUUUGAGAGGGUGAUUCAUGGGCUUUUGGCUGGUGGGUUUGUGCAAGAGGCUAGGAGGGUUCAUGAAGGGAUGCAGGGUCAGGGUUUUGUUUCAUCUGAUCCUUUGAAGGUGGCUCUCAUGGCUGCACAGGCUAUGCCUAGGCAAAAGCCAGUUGUGAGAUGAGGCAAAUGGUUGGGGUUUAAGAGCUUUAUUUGGUGGGAUUGGCUUUCACCCAUUUAUUCGUCUUGUUAUGAUGGCUUCAGGAGGGGCCACACUAACGCCAACGACGAAGAAACACCAUUAUCACUUGCACUACAGCUUUUUGCAGCUAAUAAACAUAAUACUUUGUCCAAUCCACCUACUCUUAUGGGCUCUCGUAGCAAUUCUUCCCGCAAUGAGAAACGCCCUCUGGAAAUAAUACCGUUUGAAGGUAAAAAUCCGCCUUUCGCUACCCAUUCACCUUUCAUUUCACCCAUUCAUCAAAUAACUUAUCCAGAAGCUCAUACAUCUACUCCAGCCUAUACUCCUGUUCAAGCAAGGCCGACCCAAAGGCCUAAUCUGCUUUCAUUGAAAGAGCAUAUCUCAUAGACAUUACCAUAGAGGACCAUCAUACAAAUAUGGGCCCAAUCAAACUUGCUUCUUUAUACUUCAUAAACCAUUUGAAUCCUACCAAUGGCAUAAAAGCCCGUGAAUACUAUGAGGCCAUUCUUAUGGAAACAGGGUCCAUCUCUGUUGUCCAUUACUACCAACAAAAUACAAGAGUAAUUGCAUACUCCAAAAUACAAAUCAAGAAGUUGCUUUCAUAUGAGGAGUGGGGUUGCAAUCCCACUCAAGGCAAAAAAUUAAACAAUACUGAUUUUUCAUAC